UAUGUGCAUAAUGAAGAAGUAUCCCUAUUAUGUGUUACAGGAAAGCCAACAUUCCAGUGGGAUUUCAUUCAUUCCUUAAUAAAGUAAAACCUAAGACAAAGAACCGGUUAACACAGCAAUGAACUCCUAUACAGACAGGAGACUUGAGUCUAUGUUUAAACAAACAAACUACAUUUCCCAGCCUUCCUGGCAGAUAGAAGUAACCAAUGAGGAAUCACUUUGGGUGAAAGUAAUUCAUCUGGAGAUGUGACCUCCCUUCAGUUUUCCUCCUCCUGUUCACAGCUGUGGGCAGGUGGACUCUUGGGCCAGUAUCCAGGACAGGAUGAGUUGUGACGUCCCUGGCACUCCCAGAAGACUACACUUCCUAUAUGUAGGAGAGUUUCCACUUUUUUGGAGAGAGAAAGAAAGAGAAUAUGAAGUUGGGCAGGAGAGUUGGGGAGGAAUUGAAGGAGGACAAAAACAUCAUCAAUAUAUAUUGCAUAAAUUUUUUAAAAAUAAAAACAGUUGACAUAUUGAUUGGAAUUCCAUUGAUUCUGCAGACUAAUGAAA